CCGCCGUAAUCUCCCAUUCGGGCUCCCACCAGCUGCCCAAAACCCUCUCCCCGUUCGUCGCCCCCCUGCCUCUCCGUCUCCGCCGACGUCGUACGGCCUGCGCCGCGAGGACCUGCUGCUUCAACCGGAACCCGGUGGUCUUCUUCGCCACCCAAGUCGUAACCCCAAAUCCCAGGAGCCGGCGGCGGCGCAGGUGUUGCUGAUAAGGGGAACACCAGAGGCUGAGUUAAGCCAUACUUUCCCUAAGUGGGGAGUUUAUCAAGCUUCCCAAUCCAUCCGUCGAGCCUCCGGAUGAUUACAAAUGGAAGUGGUUUGGUGAUGCAUUGGGAGCACUAGAUGGGUGUCAUGUUGCUGUUUCUGUCGUUCUGGCUGACCAAGGAAGAUAUAGGAACAGAAAGCAAGCGAUCAGCACUAACAUGCUAGGUGUGGUUGACUGGAGCAUGAAAUUUCUUUAUGUUCUACCUUGCUGGGAGGGAUCUUCAUCUGACUCCAGAGUGUUGCGUGAUGCAAUGAGAGACAACCGUCAAGAUGCAUUUGUUGUACCUCAGGGUAUGAUUGUAUCUCUUGACAUUUACUUUCUUCUCCAUGUAAUUGUUAGCUAACUUUAAUUGGUUCACCAUAGGAAAGUACUACUUCAGUUGAUACCAGACUUGUCAGAACCAGACAUGUUACGGGCAUAUGGGAAGCUGAUUCUUAAUGAGCGUUUGUUUGAAGCUCUAAUGGAGCUGCCCAUGGAAAUGAGGAAGUCAUGGCUGUUAGUGUUGCCUUAAAUUUAUCCAAAUGUUCCUUUCCAGUUUGCCUUGAUCAACUACCUGAACCUAUUUGAACUAGUCCGGUGAUGCUAAAUUUAGAACUAUGUGUUGUUGUUUAGUUGUGAGUUUGGAAACUCCAUAUGUGAACUAUGUGUUGCUGUACCGGUCUUGUUAAGAAUUUGCUCUCUGUUGGCGCAAUUAUUGUUUUUAGAGUUUUAUUUUCUAUUGAUGUGUGAAUAUUAUUUGGUGUCGUCAUGCCUUUCUAGAAUAUUUGUUCAUUUUUAUUGCUAUAUAAUCAUUCAAUUAUACUCAGAAAUUGUGCAGAUUUGAUUUGAUGCAUAAAACACAAAGCAUAUGCAAUUCCAUAGUAUGUCAUCCGAACAGGAUUUGGUAUUGAGAUUCCAUGGCCCAAUUCCAUGAGCAUCCAAACAUGUGAAUUCGUAUUCAUUCUCAUUAAAGUUUCUGCUCCGAAUUGGAAAGAGAAACCAACUCAAUACAGAGGUCUCCAAUACAGACAUCCGAACACAACAUUAAUGAAAUGGCAUACUUCUCAUUGAUUGCAGAUUUACACAAUUAAUGACAUUUCUGCAUUUGGUUAGUACUACAUCUGGGCCCCAUUCGUUUGUAUGAGGACCUUUAACUGAUUGCACAUUUUUAGGAUAUUAUAUCCUAUUAUCCCAAUUUUUUUUCCAAUGCAACUAGUCUAAAUGCAGUUAACCAGAACUUCUUUUAAGUUGUGCUAUUUUUUUAUGUUGCAAGUCUCAGGCAACAACAACAACAACAAAGCCUUUAGUCCCAAACAAGUUGGGGUAGGCUAGAGGUGUUGCAAGUCUCAGGCAAUGGCUCAAAAUUUUGAGGCAUACGUGUUGGGGUGCAAGAGCUGCACUCCCCCUUGGGAAUGUUUUGUCAAAGAGUCCGCUGUCAGACAUAUUGAUUUUGAUGGCACUUCCAGGGAGUUUUAUCCGGGAAAGUAUAUCAUGGGCCCUAUGAUAUCCGAUUGUCUAAUGGACAGGCAUGCAGAGUUGGAGUCUUAUUCUCUAAUGAAGAACUUCAGACAUCCAAAUGUUGUCACUGUAGAGAACUUCUACGAUCACUGGGGUUGUCCUAGAUUUGUGUUAUCAUGGGUUGAUGGGAGCUUGUCUGCAUGGAUGAAGGGAGAUGGGGCUGGGAGGAUGUUUAAGUCCACCAUGAAGGGGAGUGUUCCCACGGGUGCUCUAAGACGAAUGAUAAUUGAUCUAUGCAGUGGGCUUGAACGUUUAAUAGAGGAGCAACUUUAUCCUCUAAAGAUUGAACUUAAUGACAUUUGUGUGCGCCGGCAGGGCCAAAGGGGAAUUCCAUUGCUCUACAUCAAUAGAGUUGAAAAGUUGUCAGCUUUUGAUGGAAGGCGUCGGCAGGGGAAGCUAUGGGGGGAUAUUAGAAGAGCUCUGAAGGAAGUGUACAAGCAGGCUCCAGCGGGUAUUGAUCCAAUUGCCCAAAGGUUCAUCAACUAUGUUGGAGUGAAAGACGUCAGUGCACUGCAGGGUUUCCUGGACCUCUGGGACUAUCGAAGGAAGGCUAGAUUUUUGCUCUCUAUAAUUUCAAAUGACAUUUCAGGUUAACUCCAGAAUGUGCAUAUAUAUUGGCCAACAAUCCUGAAUAGUAACCGUCUGCGCUCACCGUUCCAAGAGAUCCUAGACCAUCAGGAAAAGACACGCGGAGCGGUCUAUAGGACAACCAGCCGGUAUGACUACUUAAGACUCUGUAAGGAUGCCAUCAAACACUGGCCUGUUAUGCCUGGUUCUGUCAAGGGUGACUGUGCUACUUUGGAGCGAUUUAUUGACAAGAUGGAGAGGUGGAACCCACUGAUCUGGUGCUAUCUCUACGAAGCCACUGCAUGAUACCUGUGGAUGUAUGGCAACAGCCAGACUACUAGCUUGACUGGGCUUCUGGAAACUAAAGACAUGGUGAAUGUUAGACAUUGGCAGCAAAAGCUGGUCAUCUAUAUUCUCAUGUAACUUAUGUAUUGAGGCUAGCUGGUUUUUUGUAAUGUCCCUGCUUGGAGUUGUUCAAUACCUGUGGAUGAGAGGCCUGUUGUCAUUUCUUAUAAUACUUCAGUUGAAUGUUUUAGUAACAGAAUGUUCGGCUGACUGUUGAAGGAUUACAUAACUGCAGUUCUGCUUUCCGUAUGUGCAUGCCAAAUGAAAAGUCAAUACCGUGAUGACUGAGUUUUA